GCAAUUAUACGGCGAAACUGCGAAUGGCUCAUUAAAUCAGUUAUCGUUUAUUUGAUAGUACCUUACUACUUGGAUAACCGUGGUAAUUCUAGAGCUAAUACAUGCUAAAAACCCCGACUCACGAAGGGGUGUAUUUAUUAGAUUAAAAACCAACGCCCUCCGGGGCUCACUGGUGAUUCAUGAUAACUUCUCGGAUCGCACGGCCUUGCGCCGGCGACGGUUCAUUCAAAUUUCUGCCCUAUCAACUUUCGACGGCUGGGUAUUGGCCAGCCGUGGUGACAACGGGUAACGGAGGGUUAGGGCUCGACCCCGGAGAAAACGCCUGAGAAACGGCGUUUACAUCCAAGGAAGGCAGCAGGCGCGCAAAUUACCCAAUGCCGACUCGGCGAGGUAGUGACGAUAAAUACUGGUACGGGGCUCUUUCGGGUCUCGUAACUGGAAUGAGUACAAUUUAAAUCCCUUAACGAGGAACAAUUGGAGGGCAAGUCUGGUGCCAGCAGCCGCGGUAAUUCCAGCUCCAAUAGCGUAUAUUAAAGUUGUUGAAGUUAAAAAGCUCGUAGUUGAACCUUGGGCCUGGCUGGCCGGUCCGCCUCACCGCGUGCACUGGUCCGGCCGGGCCUUUCCCUCCGGGGAGCCGCAUGCCCUUCACUGGGCGUGUCGGGGAACCGGGACUUUUACUUUGAAAAAAUUAGAGUGUUCAAAGCAGGCCUAUGCUCGGAUACAUUAGCAUGGAAUAAUAGAAUAGGACGCGCGGUUCUAUUUUGUUGGUUUCUAGGACCGCCGUAAUGAUUAAUAGGGACAGUCGGGGGCGUCAGUAUUCAAUUGUCAGAGGUGAAAUUCUUGGAUUUAUUGAAGACUAACUACUGCGAAAGCAUUCGCCAAGGAUGUUUUCAUUAAUCAGGAACGAAAGUUAGGGGAUCGAAGACGAUCAGAUACCGUCGUAGUCUUAACCGUAAACUAUGCCGACUAGGGAUCGGGCGGUGUUAUCUUUUGACCCGCU
rnacentral:rRNA from 1 species